rnacentral:rRNA from 1 species
CUUCGGGUUGUAAACCGCUUUCGCCUGUGACGAAGCGUGAGUGGCGGUAAUGGGUAAAGAAGCACCGGCUAACUACGUGCCAGCAGCCGCGGUGAUACGUAGGGUGCGAGCGUUGUCCGGAUUUAUUGGGCGUAAAGGGCUCGUAGGUGGUUGAUCGCGUCGGAAGUGUAAUCUUGGGGCUUAACCCUAAGCGUGCUUUCGAUACGGGUUGACUUGAGGAAGGUAUGGGAGAAUGGAAUUCCUGGUGGAGCGGUGGAAUGCGCAGAUAUCAGGAGGAACACCAGUGGCGAAGGCGGUUCUCUGGGCCUUUCCUGACGCUGAGGAGCGAAAGCGUGGGGAGCAAACAGGCUUAGAUACCCUGGUAGUCCACGCUGUAAACGGUGGGUACUAGGUGUGGGGUCCAUUCCACGGGUUCCGUGCCGUAGCUAACGCUUUAAGUACCCCGCCUGG